AGGGUGUAAACGCUGCCGACUUGGUGUUGGAGGCCCUUCGGGGGCAUUCAGUGCCGGAGAGAAGUUGUUAAGUCGGCCACUUGGGGAGUACGUCCGCAAGGAUGAAACUUAAAGGAAUUGGCGGGGGAGGCACCGCAACGGGAGGAGCGUGCGGUUUAAUUGGAUUCAACACCGGAAAACUCACCAAGGGCGACUGUUACAUGAAAGCCAGGCUAAUGACCUUGCUUGAUUUUCAGAGAGGUGGUGCAUGGCGUCAGUGACU
rnacentral:rRNA from 1 species